ACGCACGGUGAAUUGAAGGAUUGACGGAAGGCACCACAAGAACGCGUGGAGCAUGUGGUUAAUUUGACCCAACGCGGGAAAUCUUACCGGGCCGACACACUGAGGAUGACAGGAAAAUUAUUUAUACGUUUCUUAUUUUUUUAUAAGAAGCUAUUCAUAUGCAAAUAUGCUAGUCCUUUCAUGAUUAUGUGAUAGGUGGUGCAUGGCGUUCUUAGUUCGUGGAGUGAUCUGUCUGCUUAAUUGCGUUUCACCAAGGGUUUAUAAAAAACGUAUGUUGCGGCGCUUCGAUCCGGCUAUUUAUAGUCUGUGGUCUUUGUGUUUUGCGCAUACAAAUAGACCCUGAAAGCAACGAACGUGACCG
rnacentral:rRNA from 1 species